UACGGAGGGUGCAAGCGUUAAUCGGAAUUACUGGGCGUAAAGCGCGCGUAGGCGGCCCUGUAAGUCCGUUGUGAAAGUCAAAGGCUCAACCUUUGAAAGCCGAUGGAUACUGCAGGGCUAGAGUCCGGAAGAGGCGAGUGGAAUUCCUGGUGUAGCGGUGGAAUGCGCAGAUAUCAGGAGGAACACCAAUAGCGAAGGCAGCUCGCUGGGACGGUACUGACGCUAAGGCGCGAAAGCGUGGGGAGCGAACAGG
rnacentral:rRNA from 1 species